rnacentral:rRNA from 1 species
AUGGCUCUCGUGGCGAAGCCGAGCUCCGGCGACCAGGGCGGAGACGCACCGCAUCUCGUCUUCAUCCCGAGCGCCGGCAUGGGCCACCUGCUCCCCUUCUCCCGCUUCAUCGCCGCCCUCGCGAGCCAAGGCAACGUCGACAUCUCCGUCGUGACCGCGCUGCCGAUGGUCUCGCAGGCCGAGGCCGAGCACUUCGCCGCCCUCUUCGCCGCCUUCCCCGCCAUCCGGCGCAUCGACUUCAACCUCCUGCCGCUCGACGACGCCACCCUCGCCGGCACGGACCCCUUCGUCCUGCGGUGGGAGUCCCUGCGCCGCUCCGCCCAUCUCCUCGGCCCGCUCAUCGCCGGCGCCACGCCACGCGCCUCGGCCGUCGUCACCGACGUCAGUCUGGCUUCCCAGGUCAUCCCCAUAGCCAAGAAGGAGCUGCAGCUCCCGUGCCACAUCCUCUUCAGCUCCUGCGCGACCAUGCUGUCCUUCCUCGCCUACUUCCCCACCCAUCUCGACGGCGCCAACGCCGACCACCUCGCCGGCGACGUCGACAUCCCCGGCAUUGGACGCAUCCCGGUCGAUUACCCCCCGAACGUGCUGCGCAACCCCGACAGCCUCUUUACCAAGCAGUUCAUUGCCAACGGCCGCGAGAUCGCCGAGGCAGACGGCAUUCUCCUCAACACGUUUGACGCCUUGGAGCCGGAGGCACUCGCCGCCCUGCGCGACGGCAAGGUCGUUCCCGGGUUCCCUCCGGUGUUCGCAGUCGGCCCACUUAAGUCGACGAGCACAGAGAAGGGGGCGGUACAUGGCGCCUGGCUCGACGAGCAGCCGGCGCGCUCGGUUGUGUACGUGGCCUUCGGCAACCGCAACGCGGCCGCGCUGGAUCAGAUCCGCGAGAUCGGCGCCGGGCUGGAGGCGAGCGGCUGCCGGUUCCUGUGGGUGGUGAAGACGACGGUGGUGGACCGUGAGGACACGGCGGAGCUCAACAACGUGCUGGACGACGGGUUCCUGGGGCGCGUGCAUGGGCGCGGCCUGGUGAUCAAGGAGUGGGUGGACCAGGAGGCGGUUCUGAGGCACCCGGCCGUGGGGCUGUACGUGAGCCACUGCGGGUGGAACUCGGUGACAGAGUCGGCCGCGUGCGGCGUGCCGAUGCUGGCGUGGCCGAUGACGCUGGGCGACCAGCGCCUGGUAGCAACGGUGAUCAGGAGCGCCGGCUUCGGGCUGUGGCUGGAGCACUGGAGCUGGGACAGGGAGAGCUCGCUGGUGCGCGCGGCGGAGAUAGCGGAGAAGGUGAAGGCGGUGAUGGGCGACGAGGCGAUCUCGGCGAGGGCUAAGGAGGUCGGCCGGGAGGCGACCAAGGCCGUUGCCCCGGGCGGCUCCAGCCACCGGAGCAUGCAGGAAUUCCUUGCCACGCUCAAGUGA